rnacentral:rRNA from 1 species
GGGACACGUGGUAUCCUGUCUGAAUAUGGGGGGACCAUCCUCCAAGGCUAAAUACUCCUGACUGACCGAUAGUGAACCAGUACCGUGAGGGAAAGGCGAAAAGAACCCCGGCGAGGGGAGUGAAAAAGAACCUGAAACCGUGUACGUACAAGCAGUGGGAGCACCUUCGUGGUGUGACUGCGUACCUUUUGUAUAAUGGGUCAGCGACUUAUAUUCUGUAGCAAGGUUAACCGUAUAGGGGAGCCGAAGGGAAACCGAGUCUUAACUGGGCGUUAAGUUGCAGGGUAUAGACCCGAAACCCGGUGAUCUAGCCAUGGGCAGGUUGAAGGUUGGGUAACACUAACUGGAGGACCGAACCGACUAAUGUUGAAAAAUUAGCGGAUGACUUGUGGCUGGGGGUGAAAGGCCAAUCAAACCGGGAGAUAGCUGGUUCUCCCCGAAAGCUAUUUAGGUAGCGCCUCGUGAACUCAUCUUCGGGGGUAGAGCACUGUUUCGGCUAGGGGGCCAUCCCGGCUUACCAACCCGAUGCAAACUACGAAUACCGAAGAAUGUUAUCACGGGAGACACACGGCGGGUGCUAACGUCCGUCGUGAAGAGGGAAACAACCCAGACCGCCAGCUAAGGUCCCAAAGUCAUGGUUAAGUGGGAAACGAUGUGGGAAGGCACAGACAGCCAGGAUGUUGGCUUAGAAGCAGCCAUCAUUUAAAGAAAGCGUAAUAGCUCACUGGUCGAGUCGGCCUGCGCGGAAGAUGUAACGGGGCUAAACCAUGCA